rfam:Ictidomys tridecemlineatus contig026851, whole genome shotgun sequence.
AGGGUUGUGGCUCAGUGGAAGAGCACUUACCUAGCAUGUGUGAAGCACUGGGUUCGAUUCUCAGCACCACAU